rnacentral:lncRNA from 1 species
CUUGAAAUCACUAGGUAGCUUGGGCUGGCUCUGAAUUCCAGGUGAUACCCUCGCCUCAUUCUCCUGAGUUCUGAGAUUACAGAUUGUGAUCAAGCUUCUUGGUAAGAAUUCUGGGAACUCAAACUCGGCAGCAUCCUUUCUAGAGAAAAACAUUUUACCAGUCAAGCAAGAAAUAUCUCAUGGAAUUAUUACGAGUUAGUGAAACAAUAUGUGGAUUGUCCAUGGUGAGGAAACUGAUUACCAGAAUUUUAGUGGAUUUUUACUUGAUAGAAUAAAUGCUUUCUGGAAGGUGCAGUUUAUCAAUUUAUCACACAGGUAAGAAUCAGAAUACAGUUCUGCCCAUUCCAUUUUACUCUCUGUCAUCUGUUAUUAGCUGACUGGAGUCCCCCAAAUUUCAUAUAUUGAAAUCCCAACCCCCAGUACUCCAGUACAAACUUAUUUGGAGACAGGAUCUUUAAAGAGCUCAUAAAGUUUAAAGUUCUAAUAGAUUCUUUAGCUGAAACUUAAUCCAGCAACAGUGGUAUCUAGAUGAAGAGGAAAUCUAGACAAUAUACAUGUG